GAUGAACGCUGGCGGCGUGCCUAAUACAUGCAAGUCGAGCGAACGGACGAGAAGCUUGCUCCUCUGAUGUUAGCGGCGGACGGGUGAGUAACACGUGGAUAACCUACCUAUAAGACUGGGAUAACUUCGGGAAACCGGAGCUAAUACCGGAUGAUAUUUUGAACCGCAUGGUUCAAUAGUGAAAGACGGUCUUGCUGUCACUUAUAGAUGGAUCCGCGCUGCAUUAGCUAGUUGGUAAGGUAACGGCUUACCAAGGCAACGAUGCAUAGCCGACCUGAGAGGGUGAUCGGCCACACUGGAACUGAGACACGGUCCAGACUCCUACGGGAGGCAGCAGUAGGGAAUCUUCCGCAAUGGGCGGAAGCCUGACGGAGCAACGCCGCGUGAGUGAAGAAGGUUUUCGGGUUGUAAAACUCUGUUAUUAGGGAAGAAAAUAAGUGGAAGUAAACGUGGAAGUUCUGACGGUACCCAAACAAAAAGCCACGGCUAACUACGUG
rnacentral:rRNA from 1 species